AGAACAAGUAUGAGGAAGAGAUCAAUAAGCCUACAGAGAUGGAGAAUGAAUUUGUCCUCAUCAAGAAGGAUGUGGAUGAAGCUUACAUGAACAAGGUAGAGCUGGAGUCUCGCCUGGAAGGACUGACUGACGAGAUCAACUUCCUCAGGCAGCUGUAUGAAGAGGAGAUCCGGGAGCUGCAGUCCCAGAUCUCUGACACCUCUGUGGUGCUGUCCAUGGACAACAGCCGCUCCUUGGACAUGGACAGCAUCAUCGCUGAGGUCAAGGCGCAGUACGAGGAGAUCGCCAACCGCAGCCAGGCUGAGGCGGAGAGCAUAUACCAGAUCAAGUAUGAGGAGCUGCAGAAGCUGGCUGGGAAGCACGGGGAUGACCUGCGGCGUACGAAGACUGAGAUCUCCGAGAUGAACCGGAACAUCAGCCGGCUCCAGGCCGAGAUUGAGGGCCUCAAAGGCCAGAGGGCUUCCCUGGAGGCCGCCAUUAUAGAUGCUGAGCAUCGCGGGGAGCAGGCACUCAAGGAUGCUCGUGCCAAGCAGCAGCAGCUGGAGGAAGCCCUGCAGAAGGCCAAGCAGGACAUGGCACGGCAGCUGCGUGACUACCAGGAGCUGAUGAACGUCAAACUGGCCCUGGACAUCGAGAUCGCCACCUACCGCAAGCUACUGGAGGGCAAGGAGAGCCGGCUGGAGUCUGGGAUGCAGAACAUGAGUAUCCACACGAAGACCACCAGCGGCUAUGCAGGUGGUCUGAGCUCUGCCUAUGGGGGCCUCACAAGCCCCGGCCUCAGCUACGGCCUGGGCUCCAGCUUUGGCUCUGGCGCGGGCUCCACCCUCAGCCGCACCAGCUCCACCAAGGCCGUGGUUGUGAAGAAGAUUGAGACCCGCGAUGGGAGGCUGGUGUCUGAGUCCUCUGACGUCCUGCCCAAGUGAACAGCUACAACAGCCCCUCCCAGCCUGCCCCUCCUGAGGCUGCCCCAGAGCCUGGGAGGGAGGUUGCUGUACAGGGGAACACAGGGAAUGGGAAACCCAUCCGACGCUCAGCCCUAGCCCUCAGCCCACCUGCGGGGAGUUUACUGCCUGGGGACCCCCCUUGCCCAUGCCCCCCGCUGCAAAAAAAUUCAAUUUUUUUUUUUUUUUUUUUUU